CCUACGGGAGGCUGCAGUCGAGAAUCAUUCACAAUGGGGGAAACCCUGAUGGUUCGACGCCGCGUGGGGGAAUGAAGGUCUUCGGAUUGUAAACCCCUGUCAUGUGGGAGCAAAUUAAAAAGAUAGUACCACACGAGGAAGAGACGGCUAACUCUGUGCCAGCAGCCGCGGUAAUACAGAGGUCUCAAGCGUUGUUCGGAAUCACUGGGCGUAAAGCGUGCGUAGGCUGUUUCGUAAGUCGUGUGUGAAAGGCGCGGGCUCAACCCGCGGACGGCACAUGAUACUGCGAGACUAGAGUAAUGGAGGGGGAACCGGAAUUCUCGGUGUAGCAGUGAAAUGCGUAGAUAUCGAGAGGAACACUCGUGGCGAAGGCGGGUUCCUGGACAUUAACUGACGCUGAGGCACGAAGGCCAGGGGAGCGAAAGGGAUUAGAUACCCCGGUAGUC
rnacentral:rRNA from 1 species